UCAUUACUGAGUUUACGCUCUACAACCCUUUGUGAACAUACCUAUAACUGUUGCUUCGGCGGGUAGGGUCUCCGUGACCCUCCCGGCCUCCCGCCCCCGGGCGGGUCGGCGCCCGCCGGAGGAUAACCAAACUCUGAUUUAACGACGUUUCUUCUGAGUGGUACAAGCAAAUAAUCAAAACUUUUAACAACGGAUCUCUUGGUUCUGGCAUCGAUGAAGAACGCAGCGAAAUGCGAUAAGUAAUGUGAAUUGCAGAAUUCAGUGAAUCAUCGAAUCUUUGAACGCACAUUGCGCCCGCCAGCAUUCUGGCGGGCAUGCCUGUUCGAGCGUCAUUUCAACCCUCAAGCUCUGCUUGGUGUUGGGGCCCUACAGCUGAUGUAGGCCCUCAAAGGUAGUGGCGGACCCUCCCGGAGCCUCCUUUGCGUAGUAACUUUACGUCUCGCACUGGGAUCCGGAGGGACUCUUGCCGUAAAACCCCCAAUUUUCCAAAGGUUGACCUCGGAUCAGGUAGGAAUACCCGCUGAACUUAAGCAUAUCAAUAAGCGGAGGAAAAGAAACCAACAGGGAUUGCCUCAGUAACGGCGAGUGAAGCGGCAACAGCUCAAAUUUGAAAUCUGGCCCUAGGCCCGAGUUGUAAUUUGCAGAGGAUGCUUUUGGUGCGGUGCCUUCCAAGUUCCCUAGAACGGGACGCCAGAGAGGGUGAGAGCCCCGUACAGUUGGACACCAAGCCUUUGUAAAGCUCCUUCGACGAGUCGAGUAGUUUGGGAAUGCUGCUCAAAAUGGGAGGUAUAUUUCUUCUAAAGCUAAAUACCGGCCAGAGACCGAUAGCGCACAAGUAGAGUGAUCGAAAGAUGAAAAGCACUUUGAAAAGAGGGUUAAACAGCACGUGAAAUUGUUAAAAGGGAAGCGCUUGUGACCAGACUUGCGUCCGGUGAAUCACCCAGCUCUCGCGGCUGGGGCACUUCGCCGGCUCAGGCCAGCAUCAGCUCGCUGUCGGGGACAAAAGCUUCAGGAACGUAGCUCUCUUCGGGGAGUGUUAUAGCCUGUUGCAUAAUACCCUU
rnacentral:misc_RNA from 1 species